rnacentral:lncRNA from 1 species
ACUCCUUUGAUUCAAACCUUUUAUAAAUAUUUUUUGGUAAUGUUUCAAUAUAAAUUUAUUGUGGAGAGUGAGUGUUGUACAUUUUAUUACUCUUUAUUUUGUAGGUUGAUAUGAAUGACAUGUGAAUGUGACCACUUCAUGUCUCUUCAAAUAGAAUAUUAUUAGUGUUUACAAAUUAUUUGACAUCAAGUGAUCAACAUUUAAACAACGACCACACUACAAUUGUUUGGUAUAAGGAGGUUCUUUUAAAAGUCAAUAUCUUCACUUGAUGUUUAAUAUGUAAUUGUUUUUCAACAACUGACAGCUUAAUCAGAAGAAGGGUUCGUCAAUUGAAUACUCAUUUUUUCUCAUGUGGUUGUGGGUCUCAAUAGGAUAUUGAUCAUAUGUUUUUGGCCUGCGACUGUUUUGGUCAAAUUUGGUUUGAAAUCUACAAUUGGUUUGGUUUGGUUUCAGUCAAGUUAGCUCAUGUUAAUGAUCACUUACUUCAAUUUUGAUCCUUGGUGGCUUCUAAAAAAAUAUUUUUCAACAUUGUAAUUGAUUUGGCUCUCUUGUGUUUAGAUUGUUUGGCAUGACAAGAAGGCUAGAGUUUUUAUAACAAAAGGGAGACUCUAUUCAUCAACUUAUAGGGAAAAUUAAGCUCCAAUCCUUCUUGUGGUUGAAAACAAAUCAUCCUAAUUUUGCUUUUAAUUAUCAUAUGCGGUGGCUUAACCCCCUUCUAUUUUUAGGAGUUCUUAUUUAGUUUUAGUUUCUCUUUUGUGUUUUUUAGUGUGUCUGCUCUGUGGCUUUAUCGCUUUGACUUUUUUUUGAUUCCUUGAUGUAACAAAUAUUUUUCUUCCUUAGUUUUCUUCUGGAACUUCUUGUGCUCCAAAGACUAAGAUGUUUGAUUAAUAUGUUUCAUUUUAGCUUUAAAAAAACGAAUCUUUUGUGAUAUUAAACGUGUGUUUGGAAACGCAAUGGGAUGUUACCAUAUGUUUUCUUUAUCCCAUUGUGUUACAAAAUAGUCUAUAAUUUUUUACGGGUUAACAUCUUUUUAACAAACACUCUUUUUUUAAGUGUUAACAUAUUUUUCAACACAUUCUUUUUAUUUGUUAAAAUUCACGUAAUUUCAUUAAAUUUAUAUGUAACCUACGUGAUUUUGUGAGACCUGUGUUAAUUUUAAACAAAAAAGUAAUAUUUCUUUCGGUCAUAUUUAUAACUAAAAAAUGAUUUUUAAGUAUAUUGAAUAAUUAAUAUAUUUGGUUACAUUUAAAGGUUAAAUAUAUUAAUUAUUCAAUGUACUUAAAAAAUUGUUUUUUAUUUAUAAAUAUGACCAGAAGGGGUAUGUAAGAGAGUGUAAUGUCAGCACUUUCAUAUACUUACGGUGCGGGGCGUACAUUGUAUUUAACAAUGCCACACCAUGUCGCUUGUUAUAUGUGCAUUUAUAAUAUACAUACAGCAUAUCACUGCGCUAAAAAAAAAAAAAAAAAAAAAAAAAACGGUCUAACCGUUAAUGUUGGCAGGGACAAUGCAUUGUUAUAUGCAGGGAUCGGGGUUCGAACCCCGAACAUUCCAUUUAUUCACCUUAUAAGGUGAAUUCUAACCACUAGAAUACCUGAUAAAAAAAAUGGUUUAGAAAAAAAUACCUACUACUAGGGUGCGUUUGAUUUGCUAAAAAAUGAAGGACAUGACAUAACAACUUUAGUUGUCCAGUGUUUGAUUUGUAAAACUGUUUCAGGUACAUGACAAACUGGAGGCAAUGGACAGGACAAAAACUCAUAUUUUUGUCCCUCACCAAACCACAACACAACUUUUCGUCCCACGUACAAGUUGUCUAAAAUACCAAAAUAACAUUUUGUCCCCCAAAAAUCGUAUAAAACAUAAAAUUACUCAAUGCCAUAAAAUAUUUGUCCUGUGUUGUUCUGCCUUGUGUUGUACUGUUCUGUCCAAUACUUACUAUUUUGCAAACCAAACACACUCCUAAUGUUUUGAUAUAACAAAGCAAGAGAAGAAUUUAUCUACAAACUGGUUUUAAAGUGUGGAAAACAAGAUCUAUAGAUAAAAGUUGUGAUUGACUCGUGCCUCUGGUCACAAUAUUGUGAAUCAACAAGUAUCACUUUGUCCCUUUGGUGAACCAAAAGAUGAUUAAUGUGACUCUGAUAUGCAUGAAGCUAUUAUAGUUCAUUAUCUAUGUCUGCCUCUGAUCAAGGAAAAAACUGCAAUAAUAUGAUGAACUCAAGAAAUAGAACCAAGCCUACAAAUGCAAAAUGUCUGAUAAAAAAUAUGUCCCUUACUCCCAACCAUUUACAAUCAGAAGCAAUUCAGUGAUUCUGACAAGAGAAGUCAAUGAGAUACAACCUUCCGGUAACAAGAACUUAGAAAGCAGUCUUGAUGAACUUCCGUCCUUGGUGAAAAAGUUGGUAACAUGGCAUAUGAUGAUGGAAAAACUUAUGAUAUUUUUAGCUAUGUUUUUAGUAUUUUUUUUUGCAUUUGAAGACAAAUUAAAAGUUAAUUAGAGGAGUUCUCAAUGUUUGAUGAACUUUUGUAUUGUUUUCAUUUGAGUUGUUGUAAUUCACUUUUAUCCUAAAUCAUGCAAUUAUAUAGGUGUUUUGAGUCUUUUUGGUGAGAAAUCAUGUAAAUCGGUAAAACAAGAUAUCACAUGAAGGAUUGAGGAUAUGAAGAUUGAAGUUCAAUGGUUCUUUAAAAGAUAUUUAAAGACAAUAUAAAGUGAAGAAAAUUCAUUUCAAGUUCCAAGGCAUUGCAAGGCGGAAGAAUGAGUGAAAAAGGGUCGAAAACUGCUGAAAUCGUGCAUGAGGGGUUGCCUCAUGUGCCCCCUACGCAUGGGAUAGUAAUGGCUACUGCCCCAUGUGUCCAUGCCCACCAAACCAUAUGCCAUGCGCAUGGACACAUAUUUUCACUCUCUUAACCCCUAAGUAAUCAUACACUAUAAAUAGAGAUCAUUGCACACUCUUUUAUUCAUUUAGAAAAGGCUAGUGGUUCAAGGCAAGAGUCAAACAAUAGGCGCUUCAAGGCAUAGGAUCUUCAUCCUCCUCUUGUUUUCUUUAUGAUAUUUUUUUUUUAUUGUUUUGUAAUGAUGGUGGUUGCCAUGAGCAACUGAACCUAUUUGAUUAGGGUUCCAUGAUGAAUCUCUUCUUAUUUGUUGAGUUUUAUUGAUAAAAAAUUUAUUCACUUUGUAUUUAAAAUUUGAUUUAAUUCGUAUAUGUUUGUUUCUAUACCAAUUCGUAGAUGGAGCAAUAUUAGGAUUGACAACCUUCACCUCCAUCCGAACAAGGCAAUAGUGAAUUGCUUAGUUUCUAAUAUAAUCAAAUCUAAACAUUUUCAAAGGGAAUCCCACAUUUUCAAACGAUUGAGUUGCGGGGAUUAAAAUAAAAUUUCACUGAUUCAUCACGGGGUUAUGUUCUACUUUCUCAAAUCCAAACAUAAGAAAAGUUAUAAACUAAUGAUUUCUAUAUUUAAUUUUCAACAAAGACGAAGGAGGAUUCGAGGAUUCCCUAAUCACCAUUAAGCUACCAUACCCGUAUCUUAAGUAGAAGUUAAAGGGAAAAGAAUCUACCUCUCCAACCGAAAGUUGUAAUGCCAUCCUUCAUAGACGGCCACUUACAAAGAAAAAUGACCCAAAAAGUUUCAACUCUAUUGGGAAGUUAUCCAUCAAUAAAUCUUAGUGUGAUAUGGGUGCAAGCAUCAAAUUGAUGUCGUUACCUACAAGAAGGAUUGAGAGUUCAAGUAAAUCCCUCAAAUGUCGCUCUAACACUUGCAGAUAGGUCAAUUAAACAUCCAUAUGGAGCAAUUAAGGACAUGGUUGUACAAGGAGAUAAUCUUUCCUUUCCAUCGAACAUUGUGACAUCAGAGACUCAAAGGAAUAUUCAUUCGAAGCAAAAGUCUCAUUAUUCUCCGUUAAGGAAGGGCAAGAAUUACAAAACUUACAAAGUGGAUCAUUGGAACACUUACCUUUCUGUGUCAGAUUCAUGGAAGCCUUACCAAACAAGAGGAAGAUGAAAAGUGAUGAGUUAUUGCUUUGAUAUCAGCCACCCUAACCGGGGUAGAGGCGUCAAGCUAAUGACAUGAAACCGGUGUUGAAUGGGAGGCAACCCAUAAUUUUAUUUUGAUGUCGCUGAAUGGGAGACAACCCAUAUCUUUAUUUUCAGUCAUUUUUAUUACAUAGCUAUUUCAUCUAAAAAAUUCUCUCUUUUAUUGUUUGCUAACUCGCGGUUAGGGGCGUUGUUUUUACAUGAAUUGCAUAACCUUUCUUUUUUCAAAAAUCUAAAAAAAAAUGUUUUAGUCUCGAAGAAUUAUUCCAACCAUUAACAGUAGAGAGGAAACUUCCUUCCGAAGUUUAAGAACACGAUAACUUGGCUUACUGCAAAAGAUACUCAGAAAUAUUCACCAUUAUACGGUUAAACAAAGGAGAAGAGUUUAAAAUGACAAAUUUACCUAAGUAAAAAACUCACCGAUGGAAUUAAGUUUGGUUUUUCCCAACACUUAUAUGGACCAACACUGCAACGUUUUAGCGUACCUUGUAGGCAUAGUUCAUUUGAGAUUGUGUCUGAUUUCAAUUGAAAUUGUUCAUAUUCUAAUGUUGUUUUAGCUUUAUUAUCAUUUCAUAAAUUCUAUUAUUUUUUGUUAACCCUUCAGUUUAUAUGAGAAGAGGUCCUCGUAAUCUCAAAUUCGAUCGUGAUCUAACUAUAACCUGAUAAAGAAUUGAUCCACCUAAAAAUCAAAUUCGAGUUCUCUAAAACAGUUUGUUGUUUGAACAAAUUUGUUAUACACUUAAGAGUAAUUGUUUGGUUUAAUAUUCAUGACCCACAUAACGAGGAUGCAGUUGAGCAAUACAUAACUUUCACUUGAAAACUUCUCACACGGUCUCUUUAAGAUGCCGAAACAUCCACUGAUCCACUUCUAGACAGAACAGGACCAACCGACGCUACUGCUAAACAUAAAUAUUAAUGUCCAUUAAUGAAUGUGUUGUUGUAUGUCUAAAAAUAUUAUUAAAUGUGUUGACUAAUUUUGAGAAUACAAUUCAUGCAACUACACGUGAUUCGUUUCCAUUUAAUUCAAUCAACGUACACAUUCAAGUACAAAAUUUGUACAUGCCUCUCUGCCUAUACCUAAUAAACAAUUUGUAUGAGUAAAAAAAAAACAAUUUCUAAUAUGGUACGUACUGAUUUUAAUUAUUUUAUGGACACAUGACCUUAUUAGUACAGCUAGCGUACCAAUUUUUUACUCAAAAUAUGUAAACAACACAAAAAAUUACAACAAUUAAUUAGUGGCAAAUGAUAUACACCAACUAAGAGAGGCUUAAUGAAUUAAGAAUAUUUUAUUCUUUAUUAAUUAUUCCCUUUAUUCGUGGUGCAUGCAUGCAUGCUUGGAUUAAUCGUGGUUAAAGAGUUGUUAACCAUGAUUAAGAGACUUAAUUAGCAGCAGAGCAUGACCCUUGAAUCCAACUAUGCUCUGACUAGGCUAGCUUAUAAUAAUCUACCCACAUGCAAAAACGUAUUAGGGAUAUUUCUACGGGUUACUAAUGGUCUUCCUUCAAAAAAAAAAAAAAAAACAGGUUACUAAUGAUCUGUUUGGACUUUAACAUGUGUUAUGUCAAAUAAUUGUUUUUAGCAUGUAGUUCAAUUAAUACGUUUGGUUUCUCAAGUAAUAAAGUGAAAAAAUACUUUUAGGAAAAUGUUAACUAGUGUCUUCGAGAAGGAUAAUACUAUCUCUGUCCUUAAUUAUAUGAUCCUUUAGAAAAAUAACGGGAAUUAAGAAAAUUAAAAGUGAUAUUGCUUUUAUAAUUUUAUUCUUUAAGAGAAAGAAUUAGAAUAUGUUUUCAACAUAAUAUUUAAUGCUAAUUGAAGAAAAAUAUAAAAUAAAUAGGGGUGUGUUAGUAAAGAAUUAAUUUUUUUUGAAGAAGCUAAAAUGGAAUUUCAUUAAACAAAUCUCUUUACUCUCACCGCACAAGGUGUGCUGAAGAGAAACAAAGAGAAAAAUCAAGUUACAUCAGAAACAUAGUAGUUUGUUGAUUUGACGGAAAAAUUCAAAUCUCUUUACUCUCUCUUUAUUCAUGCAUGAAGGAGAUGAAGAAGUUUGUUGUUUUUGAGAUAAAAAUAGUAAAUAUUUGGAAGAAUAAAAAUGAAGAAAAAUGUAUUUUUCUUUAAAAGGGGUACCCUAAUUUAUGGAGGGGUAACAUAGAAGAAGAAAAAACGUUCAAAUAUGUAUUUUGCAUAUUUUAGACAUCAUUUUUUUUUUUGCUAAAUAUUUUCCUCUAGCAUUUGUUAGAUGUUCAACACCUAAAGACAAAAAUCUAAUGUCAUUUUAAAUAGAAAUAUUUAUCACAAGAAAUGGUGGUUGAAUUAUUAUAUUUUUAAAUUUUAAAUUUGUGCUUAAUAAAUUUUGUCUAAUUGUAAAAUUGGAAAGAACAUAAUGUUAGUGAACCUUCUCUUGAUGCGUAUGUUAUGAAGUCACUACGCCAAAAAAAAGUGAUCUAUUAUACUCCUUUUUUUGUCAAGUCCUUUUGAAUAUUCUUGAUUGUCUUUGUAAUUUUAUCUUUUAAUUCUUAUAAGAAAUAUGUUAACAUAACACUAUUUUUUUUUUAAACAGAAAACGCAUACUCUAACACGUAAAAUUAAAGGGAGUGUAAACUUGUGUGUUUGCUUCACUCCCUCCAUGCAUGCAUGCAGUAACCCUGCUCUCGUACGAGUGAUCUCAUGCUACCGCAUGGCCACACAGUGGAAAAUCUUGAUAUUCUCAAAACAUGUUGAUUUUUUUCUCUUCAAAAUAUCAAAAUUAAUUGAAUCUAAGUACUAUUCUCCCAACUAUAGUUGAUACAAAUGGUUGGUUUUUUUGCCUACGUGUAAUUUAGGUUUAAAUUUUCAAUGCUACGGUUGACUAAUUAUUUUUUUGAACAAGUACGGUUGACAAAUUAUAUGUAAAUUAUAUUGUAAAUAUCUUGCAAUAUUAAUUAUGAAAAAAGAAUUAUAAGUACUAUUCCGCAUCUUAAUUAUAAUUAUUUUACUAGUUACAAACCCGUGCGUUGCACGGGUUUAAUAACGUAUUUUAUAAAAAAAAAUAUUUUAAAAGAAAAAUGAUCAAAUUAAUGAAUAUUGCACAAACAUUAUAAAUCUUUAUCAAAAUAUUUAUGAAAGCUUUAUCAAGUCUUUAAUACACAUUAAUAUUUGUGAUGAUUGAUAAAAGAAUUAAAAAGAGUAAAGGGUAUAGAAAUAAAUUUAUUAAAGAAUUAACGAUUUGUUUAAACUUAUUUUUGUUACAAUUUAGACCAAAAAAGAUAUUGGACUUCAUUGAGUUUCUCUAUAAUUUUUUUAUCAGGCUUGAAGUUAUGACUCUGAGUUUGAAAACCGCAAAAUUCACAAAAAUUAUUGAAGAAACACUAUAAACAAAUAAACGGCAUCGUCAAAAAUGAAAUCAUAUUUGGCUAUAGUGAUCAAGCAAACAAAAAAAAAGAAGCAUAUUAAAUACCUAUAAUCAAUGGAUUCUAAUUGCAUAGAGGCGACACUUAUACUUUCUCCAUGUUUGUUCAUCAAUGAGAGUGAUUAUUUUGCGCUUUCCUUUCAGAAUUGUUCUUGACACCUAGUUUGGGAAAUGCUAAACAGGGAAAUAACUGUAAUAUUAAUCUAAUGCAUAUUAACAUGGAUAAGAUGUAUGCGAAUAUAGUUAUAUAUAACUUAUGAAAUGAAGGUAACAUAACUGAUUUUAAGCUAAAGAAAAUGUAUCAUGACUUCUAAUUUAUCUUUCUAUUAUCUUCCUAUAAAGUCUAGAGAAAUGCAUGCAUGUGCAUUAUAUGUACCCCGUUGACCAAUUAACAUUUUUGAAACAAAUGAAAAUUAAGCAUCACUCCCGCAUGUGCAUCUAUAGCUAACACCAUUUGACAUUGAUGUCUUCGAACAUUUGGUGCAACUCUCAUAAUACCAUCCAAACUGGUUAGGAUUGAAUUUAGUUGUUUUUCCAAAUAGUGAUGGAGUAUGUAUCCUAACACAAAUUAUGCACGUGAAAUAAAGAAUAGUGCAAUAUGCAUUUUUAAUUUGUGCGUAAAAAAACUCAAAGCAUGUUUGUGCAUAAAAAACAAAAAAAAAACAGACCUUGACUAAGUUUAUAGAUUCAUCAAUUGGCCUAACUUGAGACAGAUUGGAAAAAUCGUUCUACGAAGUACUUUUUAAACUUUACUUUUUAAUCUAUCUGAGCUUGAGAAGUGUUAAGUUCACGACAACAAUUCAAGAAACAUGGUCAAUAAACAAUCAAAUCAGAUUGUGAAAUAAUAAGUUACUCUAACACUGUAUUGUGAAAUCAUAAUGCAAACUUACUAAGUCUUAAACUUUUCAACAACCGGAUGAUGUAGGUUGAUGAGCAGCCUCGAACCUGACCAAUUGUUACAUCUAUUUGCGUUGUCAUUGACUACAAAAUAGAAGCAAAGAAUUCAAGGUAAAUAAAUGGUAAAUGAUAAAGCUACAAAGUAUUUUACCCAUAAUGUUACAUCAACUAUAUUCCCAAUGCUCUAAAUCUCUAUAUCGAGUUAUUACAUGAACUCGAUCACCCUAAAUCCGAGAAAGAAACCAAAAAAUAUAAAUAAAUCAAAAUGUAUACUAAUAAGUAACAUUGAUAAAUCAUAAAAGAAAUUACUACAAAUCUUAACUAACUUAUCUAACCUUUGCAUCACAAAUAAUGAGCUUCAUAUGUUGAUUCUCAUUACUACCAGUCACAAUUCAAGAAUCCAGUACUCCAAAUCCUAUUUUCCAAACGUCUAAAUCAUUUUUGAGAUACUUAAUGUAGUCAUAAUCCCUUGACAUUGAAAUUCAUAUAUAGAAAUACAAUAAUACAUCAUUUAAUUUUAUUCCCUUUGUUCAUUCUGAUAUCGAAAGAAGCUAACAUAUUUCUAUGUGAUCAAUUUUUGUAUCAUCAAAUUAACCUGAUCUUAAAUGUACAAAUUUCUAUCAUCAACUUUCUGGACCCCAAUGAUAUGAUCAAAACAAAUUUACACCAAUCAACUUUUUGCACGGCUCAAUGAUAUACGAAAGAAUAAAUAAAAUAUGAAAACUGUUACAACUUUAGGAUUACUCACAAAAACUAAAAUAAUUGAAAUGCAUCAAUUAUUUUCAACUCCUGUACCAGAAGCUAAAAUAACAAUUGUGUCAAAACCUUACCAUCAGUUAAAAUUCAGUCAUCAUGACCUCUACUAUACUCCACAUAACAAAAGACGAUUUUUCUACAGCCAUGCAACAUAACAAAUUUUGGUACAUAAUCCAAUAACAAUUGGAAAAAAAAAAAAACCCUUAAAAUGCAUAAUCAUGAAAAAAGGAAGAAAACCAUCUAUGAUGAAGCAAAAACUAAAACGGUGUCGAAAAAUGAAGCCCUUAAGCCAUAAAAAUCAGUCAACUCAAGUCAUGCAUGGUCUCAGAACCAUGAAAAAAGAUAGAAAAUGACCUUUUUUUUUUUUGUGGUGGCCGGGGUUUGAACUCCGGACCUUGCAUAUUUUAUGCAUUGUCCUACCAACUAAGCUAAGCUCACGAGGACGAAGAAAAUGACCUCUUAUGAAGAAGAAAGUGAAACAGUGUUCCCGACUGAACUUAGAUACCGUUUGGUCGAGGUUUUUUACAGUCUAAAAGUUACUUCAAAACAAAGUAAAAAUAAAGGCCUUUAAGAAAGAAACUAAAGUUAUUUGGUUUUUUUGUUUUGUUAGUUUUAAAGCUAUUUAAGUUUAAUGUUGUUUGACAAAAUAUUGUACAAACUUUGAAUUUAUUAUUUUUUAUAUGGUGUCUGGGGUUCGAACUCCGGACUUGGCAUGUAUUUAUGCAUUGUUCCAAUCAACUGAGCUAAACUCAUGAGGACAAAACUUUAAAUUUAUUAUUAAUUAACAUAAUAAAUAAAUAAAAUGUUUAGAAUAAUUUAUGAAGGCUAAAAAUGUUAAAAAAUAAAAGAUAUUUUUUUUACAAAUACGAUAUUUACUCAAUAACGUUUAUUUUGUGUAACAUGAAUACAAAUUAAUAUCAUCAUAUAAAUAACUUGUUAAAUAUUUGAAUAGGAGAAACAAUUUAAGGAGUCUGGAAUAAUAAUAUAAAUAAUAUCAAAAUAUUUGAUUUUUUCUAUUUCAAUUAUACUCUAUAACAAAUUUCGUUAUAAGAAUACCAUAUUUUUUGUGUCUUUCAAAAAGAUAAGAAUUUAUAUUAUAUGAUAUUAUAUUUGUUACAUUGUUGGUGUCAUGGAAACAGAUAUGUUUAAUUUUUUUGAACAUGAAAAUGAUAUGCAUAGUUUGUUACGAUAUAAAGGUGCAAUAUAUAUAUACACCUUUUUAGGCAUCUAUACCUUUUUUUGAAGAAAAGACAUCUACAAUUUUACUUUUAAUUAAAAUUUAAAUUUUAUAAAAAUAAUCAUACGCAUUAUGCAACGCUAAAAAAAACUAUACACAUUAGCGUAACAAAAAAACAGACACACAUAAAGAAUUACUCUAAACGCUAAUGUGUAUGUGCGUAUAUAUUUGCGAGGUUGAAGAAAGAAAAUACAAAUAUUUGAUAUCAUUAAAUGACAGCGUGAAUAAAAAUAUUUGUGAAGUUGUGAUGAUUAAACGAUAUUGAAAUUAUAAGUGAUAAAAAGAUAAUAAAAUUCCUUUGAAAAAAAGGUAAUAAAAUUAAAUGGAACCUCCUUAAAAAAAAUUAAAUUGAACGCUUCAAAUUAAAUGGAAGAAAAAAAUAUAUUGAAGUAUAAUAUUAAAAAAUAAAAAAAAAAGUUCCCAACGUGAAUUGAAGAGAGAUGCUUGUGAAAUAAAUUGUCGAGAAGUAGUUUUUUGAAGAAGCAUUCAACAACUUUUGGUCAAAGUUCAUUGCAUUAAAAGGUACAUUUUUUAGAAAGUACUUAAUUGAUAUUGUAUUUAACCUAACUUCUCCUUAAAAAUAUAGGGAAGUUGAAAAAAAAACCGGGUCAAACGGUAUCUUAGUUUCCCACAACGGCAGUGUAGAAACAACUGAAUUUGGGAGAAAAAAAUUGGAAAAUAAUUAAAAAUAAAAAAAAUUGAAAAAUAGUUAAAAAAAAUCGGUGAGGUAGCACCUAACCAAACAACACUAAAAAAAAUUAUAUGCAUCAGCGUAACAAAAAACAGACAGACGGACAUAAAAUAUUACUCUAAACGUUAAUGUGUGUGUAUAUAUUCGCGAGGUUGAACAAAGGAAAUAAAAAUAUUUGGUAUCAUUAAAUGACAGCGUGAAUAAAAAUAUUUGUGAGGUUGUGAUGAUUAAACAAUAUUGAAAUUAAAAUAAUUAAUAUUGUGUUUGACCCAACUUCUCCUUAAAAAUUUAGAGAAGUUGAAAAAAGUCGGGUCAAGCGAUACCUUAAUCUCCCACAACGGUAAUGUAGAAGCCAUUGAAUUUGGGAGAAAAAAUUGAAAAAUAGUUAAAACUAAAAAAUAAAAAAAUCGGUAAGGUAGCACCCAACCAAACAACACCAAAAAAAAAUUAUAUGCAUUAUCGAAACAAAAAAAUAGACAAACAGACAUAUAAUAUUACUCGAAACAUUAAUGUGUGUGUAUAUUCGCGAGGUUGAAGAAAGGAAAUAAAAAUAUUUGAUAUCAUUAAAUGACAACGUGAAUAAAUAUAUAUGUGAGGUUGUGAUGAUUAAACAAUAUUGAAAUUAAAAUAAUUGAUAUUGUGUUUGACCUAACUUCUCCUUAAAAAUAUAGAGAAUUUGGAAAAAAGCCGGGUCAAACGAUACCUUAAUCUCCCACAACGGCAAUGUAGAAGCAACUGAAUUUGGGAGAAAAAAUUGAAAAAUAGUUAAAAACAUAAAAAUUGAAAAAUAGUUAAAAGUUAUUAAAAAUUAGAAAAUAAUUUAAAAAAUUGGUGAGGGGUAAAAUGGGAAAUUUGGCAUAAAAAAGAUGAGGUGGCACCAAACCAAACCCACCAAUUAGAAAAUUACUUAAAUGCCCAUUCCAGGGACAAAAUGGGAAUUUCAUAUGGCAUCAAUUUUAAUAGAGUAUAUAGAUUAUGAGUACUUGGUACGUAGUAGAGGUUUCUUUUAUAGGUUGUUAUUUUAUGCAUUGGUUCAGGAAGACUUUAUUAUUAUUUAUAUAUAAUAUAAACAUUAUUUUUAGUAGAUAUAUGGGAAUAUAAACAUUUAGUAGCUAGACUGAGUUGUGACUACUUAUGCAAAUUAAAUGACAUCAACAUAAUAAUGUUGAGGGAGCCACAAAUGGAUCCACGUAGCUAUUUCAAAUAUUUAUUUGGAAACAACUUUCUUCCCACUUGUUUCAGAUUUGGAGGCUAUCUCAUUAAAGUAUAUAUAUCGUAUUUUUAAUGACUAAAGUUCAAUAUGACCAAGUGGUUGAGUUUGGCCUUUGUUUUGAAUUGAAAAACUCGUUUGCUAGGAAGCCCCACAUGAGAGGAGACUUUGAAUUAAAAAUGCAUUUUUUGUUUUAUGUCAUUGAUUCAUGCAUGAAUUCAAGCCAUUUGAAUUUUACUUGAUCUUUUGGGUCUACUUGCUAGUUGGCCGUUGACUUGAGACUGUGACAACAACAUAACAACUCUCAUAUCCAAAACAUCUUGAGAAGGAAAGGUUUAACUCUUCUAAUAUGAAAUAAUUGAUGUUGUUUUCAUAACAAACAUAUGAUUUAUUAUGAAGUAUAUGAUUUAUCUUAACACGAUGUAUGUUUUAAGUGUCUAUGGUUUGGGCCUGCGGGCUAUUAUUUCAAAGCUCAAUUUGAAGAACCUAAACUUCAAAUUUCACAUGUCACGCAUCAAUAGGAUAUUAAAAACCAUCUAAGACUAAAUUGAUAUUGAGUGGUUGAAAAUAAUGAUCAACCUGGUAGUAAGUAAGUGAUUAAAAUAUGGGGAUUUUAUUGACCGUAAAUGGUUAAAUAUAGAGACCAACUUGACAUUUGAGUAGAGUGAGAGAUCUUUAUCUAAGAACAUGUUAAAGAUUAAAUUGAUAGAAAGUGGUUGAAUAUAAUGAUCAAAUUGAUGGUAGAUCAACUUGAUAGAAAGUGGUUAAAAUAUAGGGAUCUAAUUGUAGGUAAAUUGUUAAAUAUAGAGAUCAACUUGAUGUUUUAAUAGAACCAAGACACCUUUUUAAAAUAGUUUUAAUUUGAGGAAGUCAUUUAAGAAUAUCAUACAAAAUCAAAGAUUAAUUUGAUAGUUUACUCGUAAAAUAUUAUAAAACUUUGACAUCUAUCUAUAUAUGGAUAGAUGAAUGUGUGAUACAGAGUCAAGGAGCAUAAGUUUCUCGCAUCACCUGCUUCCAUACAUCCAUACAUACAUGAAAGUGAGAAAUAUUGCAAAAAUUUGAGGAUUUAAAAAUAAAAUAAAAAAGUACAUGAAGAAAGUCGAAUGGGGUAUAUAUCUACAUGUUCUAAAAAAAUCCCUAAUGUUCUCAAAGUCGAAUAGGGUAUAUAUCUUCUCAAAUUUUUUACAUGCAUGUUCUCAAAAGACAAGUACUUAAAGGAAGCCAUUUGAACCAAUCAAAAUCAAUUUUUUCUAGAUUACCCUUCAUGAUAUCAAUCAAUCAAAAUGUAAUAUACAUUGACAAUAUUAAAUGUCAUAAAUGAGUCAAUUUUUUCUAUAAAAAAAAAAAAUCAAUUUUAAUCAUAAGGGAACUUUUAAUACUUUUAAUUUUUAUUAAAUUAUAGACAGGAUUACAUUAGAGGUCCUUUAUCUUAUUUAUUUGUAACACUUUGGUCCUUUAUCUUUAUUUUUAUUUCCGUUUACGUCUUUUAUCUCUCAUAAAAGCACAUAUACAUCAUUUUUCUCAUUUUUUUAUUAAAAAAAUACAUAAUGUUAUUUUUUUAAGUAUAUUUUUAUUAAAGAUGAAAAAAUUCAGAAUUAUGAUGAAGAUGUUCAUCAUCUUCAUUGAAUCAAAAAAAUUUCUACACAAAUAUAUUUCCAAAUAUCAUGAAUUAAUGUUAUGUUCACCUCAAAUCUUCUUUUAAACACAAAAAUCAAAACCCUAUGGAGAAAAAGAUUUAGUUUCAUCACAAAAAAAAAAAAAAAAAAAAAAAAUUAGUUAUAUAAAUUGUCACACCGUAUAUUAUUAUUAUUUUCUAAAACUCAAUAUUCAAACCCGGCAUAAAAAUAACCCCAAAAUUGAUAGCAGUUUUGCACAUCAAUUUUGUUGUUUCCAAAACAAUCUUAACUUUCGUAAAGCCUAACCCUUCCGCCGGUGACUAAGCCUCCACCAUCCGCCUUGCAACAUUUGUGAAAUUAAGGUUUUGAAUUUUGUCUUUAAAAGAAGAUUUGAGGUGAAUACAACAUUAAUUCACGAUAUUUGGAGAUAUAUUUUAGUAGAAUUUUUUUUUAUUUAAAGAAGAUGAUGAAGAUUCAAAGGAAGAAGAUGAAGAUGAUGAACAUCUUCAUCAUAUUUAUGGAUUUUUUUUCAUUUUUAAUAAAAAUAUAUUUUUAAAAAUAAAAUUAUGUAUUUUUUAGUAAAAAAUAAGAAAAAAGAUGAAUAUGUAAAGGACCUAAACGGAAAAACAUAAAGAUAAAGGAUCAAAGUGUUACAAAUAAAUAAGAUAAAGGACCCCUAAUGUAAUCUUGACUUAAUUAUAUUUAGUUGUUCAAUCUUAAUUAAUUUACACUACAUGACUGGCUUAGAACAAUUAAAAUUUCACAUCAAAUUUCUUUCAUCUGAAUGUCCUUAAAUUUAUCAGUUAUAUUCAUAAAAUUUCUUCUUCCCAUUUUGAUUGUUCAAUUUUGUCGUUCCAAACUGCCGCAUUUUUUAAUUUUCGUGAGAAUCGUCGUCGUUUGUUUGAUUCCAAAUAUCGUGAGAAUUGUCGUUAUUUCCAGUACCACGUCAAGUAUGGUGAUUUGAUUUUUCUUUUUGAUUUGAUUUUUUUUUUUUUUUGUGAGGUAGUUAAUUAUAACAAUUGAGUAAGUCAUCUGUUGUACUUUGAGGACUGCUAGCAGGUGUUGCCGCUGUGAUGUUGUGGGAGUCUGCUAACAUUUUUUUCGGUUGCUGCUGAAAUGGUUAUGUGAUGAGGCUUUUGUUCUUUUGUUUUGACUUAAAGGUUUUGGCUGAUAGUGAGGCAGGUCUAUACGUGUUAGCAUAUUUUAUUAGGUUGGCUGCUUAAAUAAAAAAAGUCACGAUAUCUAACGCGGUUCUAUAAACAACGACAAUUCUCACUAUAAUUGGAAACUGCGGUAGUUUGGAACGAAAAAAUUGAACAAUCAAAAUAGGAAUAAGAAUGAAAAAGAAACAAGAAUUGAUCAAUAUGGAAGAAUAAAGAAGAAGAAAUUUGAAUGAAGGAGAUGUUUUUGUUCUCACGUUCGGGGUUCUAGAAUGGAAGAAAUUUUAUGAAUGUAAGUGAUGAAUUUAAGGACAUCCAGAUGAAAAAAUUUGAUGUAAAAUUUUAUUUGUUAUAAGUCUUGUAGUGUAAAUUAAUUAAGAUUGAACUUCUUAAUAUAAUUAAAUAAAAAUUAAAAGUAUUAAAAGUUACCUUAUGAUUAAGAUUAAUUCUCCUUAAAAAAAAAUUAAGAUUAACUCUUUUUUGUCCAAAAAAAAAAGAUUAACUCUUUUAUUUUUAGAAAAAAAUCUACUCAUUUAUUUGAUAUUUAAUGUUACCCAUGUAUAUUACAUUUUGAUUGAUUGAUAUCAUGAGAGGGUAACGUAGGCCUCUAAAUUUGUUACAAAUGCUUGAGAAACAGGUUGCAUAUACUCCCUCCCGUCACAUUAAAUUUUUAGGUUUAUGGAAUAAUUAAUGUAUUUUGUCACAUUUGUAGACCAUUAAUGCAUUUGGUCACAUUUGUAAACCAAAUACAUUGGUUAUUCAAUGAACCUAAAAAGUUGUUUUUCGUUUAUAAAUGUGACUGGAGGGUGUACAUAAAUUAAGUACCAUAAUGUACUGAAAAUUAAGUAUACAUUUUCCCAUGAGUGGCUCAUCAACAAGUACUAUAUCUAUUGGGAGUUGUAGUUAUCGAUAUAAUACUUGUUUUUUUGAAGAAGACAAAAAAACCAAGUACUAUAUCGAUAACUACAACUCCCAAUAGCAACCAUGAAACAUUCCUCAUAAUUGUCAUAAUAAAACUACAACUUUGUUUACCUAUUUAGUACAGGUUUCCUGCAUCAUACGUGUAUUUUUUCCACAUCCGGAUUUUAAAAUUUGAACAUGUAAAGUGGACUUUUUACACAUUUAGAUUGUAAUAUCCAGAUGCAAAAAUCCAUAAGAAAAAAAUUAAUCGCAGUUGUAUUGUGGUUUUUUUCCUUUCAUAACGGUAGGAAAGCACGCUCUGGAUUUGUUAAUCCAAAGAUCACAAACACGCUCCAAAAUCUACAUUCAGACAUGUAAAAAAAUGGAUACUUUUGAGUUUAUGGAGGGCGUUCAAGAGUUGUUGGGGGGUGGGAAAAUGAUUUUACUUUGUUUGGUAAAACAUUAUCAAGAAAUUAAAAAGGGGUUUGUCUAUUGGGCUAUUCCUUUGUUCUUAUAGAAGCCCAUACCUAAAUGACUAUGACCUAAGAAAGAGAAUAUCUUUUUCCACCCCAUGUUCUUCUUGUGCGCGCCCUCCAAUUUGAUCAUUUUGUCCAUGUUCAGAUUUUAUUAUCUAGAACAUAUCAGACAUCUUUCGGAAUAAAAAAUCUAAAAUGUUUAUUUCUAUAUCUCAAAUCCCUCCUCCGACAAUUCAUCCUCUUUUUUUUUAUAUAAAAUGAAAAACUAAUUCAAAUUAUGUAAUAUUAACCCUGCAUUUACAUAAACAUACCAAUUUUCUAACUAUAAUUUGCAGUAUUUCAAAUAUGGAUGCUCCUAUUGAUAUCCCCUCUAAUUUGAUAACUCACAUUACACCUCCAAUUAAGGAACCUCAUGUUGAUGUGAAGUCACACGUUGCACCUCAAGUUGUGGAUGAUCCGACCAAUGCAAAAGUCGAGGUUCCACCUUGAAUUGAUAAUCCUUUCGACAAUAUCAAAGUCGAUAUUCAACCUCCAAUUAAUAAUCCUUAUAGCAAUGCAAAAGUCAAGGUUCUACAUUCAGUUGAUAAUCUUUUCAUAAAUGUCAAAUGUGAAGUUCCACCUCCAGUUGAUAAUCCUUCUGACAAUGUCAAAGGAAAAGUUCCUCGUCAAAUUGAUAAUUCUUCUACUGAUUACUCCUCGUCAAUGGUGAACAUCUGUAGCUGAACUUAUCUAAACUUUAGUUUAAAAAAUAAAUAGUGAGUAUGAGUAGUUCACGAAUAACUCAAUUCUCUUUUCUUUCUUUUUAACAAAAAAACAACAUAAUAUUGUUAGGUGAAUACAGUGGUAUCCAUAAAGUUUGGUUGAAUAUGUAUUUUUCAUUCAAUUAUUAAAUGACAGUCAUAUUUUUAUAUUAAUUUAUUUAAAAAUAAAAUAGAAUUUAAAUGAGUUUUGCAUAAUAUUGGUACCGGCCAAACUUCACAUGCCAAAAAAUUUACCUUUUUCUUUAGACGAAUUUACCAUUUUUUUUAUAUGACAAUUCAAAACCUCUCUUUUUUUUCCUUAAAAAAAAAACAUUUUUUUGUUGAAAUAAUUCAAAACUUUCCAUCAACGAUAUACUACAGUACAGGAAUAUAAAAAGCAUGCAUAGAUCCAAAUCCAAUUAUAGAGUUGUUGAAAAAGCUUUGCUGGUAUUGAUUAAUAAAAUAAUAUUUCAUUUUCUUUAAAAUAAAGAUAUUACAUUUUGACCAAAUACAUUAUUUGCCUAACUUACUUAAUUAACUUUUUUUUUUUAUUAAUAUGCAAAGACAAAUGUUUAUAUAAUAUUUUUAAAAUGUCAAUAUUUUAUAGUUUUUGUUAAUAGAUAUUUAAAAAUAUGAAUGAUUAAAGUUUUUAGUUGGAAUAAUGUGAUGUUAGUAGAACCAAAAUAAUAAUAAUAAUAAUAAUGAUGAUAAUGUCCAUGUUGAGAAAGCAAACAAGUUGACCAAGAACAUAACAACAGUACCACUUUCACAACAUCCUCCUCGUAAUACAAAUCAAUCUCAAAUCAAUUCUUCUUCUACUUCAAACGACAAAGAUUACAAUGAUAUCAAUACAUCGUUUAUUGUGAAAGAAAAAAAAAACUAUAAUAUUUCACAAAAAUGGCUUGGAGAAAUGGUUGUGAAGAAGUGACACAAUCAAAACCAUUAUUCCUCACGAUCUACACUGUCGUUAUCAUUGGAAUUGUUGUUUCAUCUUUCUAUGUUUUUUCUGCUAUUUAUUCCAGUAACACUCCUGCUUCUCAAUCUUCUGCAUGGCUUUCUUCUUCCAUCUCCAGUAUGUCUCUCAACUUUCACUCUGUUUUUCUCUUAUUCAUCAUCUUAAUUGUUGUUUAUAUUGUUUAGAUCAUUAAUUUAUUAAUGUAAAUGUAAUUGAAUUUGAGCUAUGGAGUGUGGAGAAUUAGUUCAUUUGUAGAUGAUGUACUAACUAGUUCUUUUGCUAUGCUAUUUAUAAUUCAAUUCUUGUUAGAAAAGGAAAGUGGGAUUAUUAUUAUUUUUCUGCAUUUUUUUUUUGUGAUUUAAGAACCAACACGAUAAUAAAGUAUGGUCGAAAAUAGGCUUAGGUGGUUUGGGCAUUUAGAGAGAAGACAUGUAGAUUUUGUAGUAAGGACAGUGGAUCAGAUGGAGGAUAGUCGGAUCACUAGAGAUAGAUGAAGACUUAAAAAAACUAUAAGAGAAACUAUCAGGAAAGAUUUAGAGAUUAAUGAGUUGGAUCCAUAUAUGGUUUAUGAUAGAACAUUAUGACGUAAUUUGAUCCAUGUAAUGUAGCCGACCCCAGUUAGUGGGAUAAGGCUUGGUUGUUGUUGUUGUGGUUGUAAACUCUGGCUAGGUUCCGAGUGGAACUAAAUUUGGAUCUCUUGAGCAAGGUUCCUCCGGGUUUGAGCCUUGUCUAUAGCGACAAUAUAGUGUAGCAGAAUUUGGACAAACCACUAUUGUUUUGCGAUACACUAUUUAGUAAAAAAAUGUUGUCAAAUUGCAGCUAUAGUGGCACUAUAGCACUAUUGUACAGCAUAAUUUUAACAAUCCGCUAUCUGCAAUUGACAACACUGGUUGAAAGAGGUAACCUCGUUUAAGGCGAUCGACCAGAUUUUUAGACAGAGAUCAGUCAUUGGCAAAAUUGCUGGAUAGUUUGCGACUAUAAGAUGGUUAGCAUUUAACAAUAAAAAAAAAACUAUCAACUGUCUAAUGGUAUCUAUGCAAGGCACUUUUGUUACAAUAAUUUCAUCUGGAUUGGUAAAAUAGUUUAAUAAAUAGAAGUUAAAAAAGCACUGCAAGAUGCAGUUAGGAAUAUUUGAAAUGUCCAUGAAAUGUAGGGUAUGAAAACCUUUAUGAAAAAUAUAUUGUAAGAUACAAUUAGGAAUAUUUGAAAUGUCUAUGAUCUGUUUGAUAUGGAUACAAUGAUACAUGACACAGCUACUAUAUUAUAGCGGUUGUGCUUACUUAUUUUAUGUUCUUUAAUCUAUGGCUUUUCCAUAAUUGAGUUGGAUUCAAAACCUUCAUUCAAAAUGUGUUUUCAGCUGAGGAUCCUCACCAUAUAGAUCAUACACUCAACAUUUCUCAGUCAGAAAAGUCGCCUACUGUGUCCAUUCCUUCACCAGUGAAAGAGAAUGUGUGGCCAAGUUCUGUUUGGGAAAUUCCACCCUCGAAUAAAAAAAUGCCGCCUUUGAAGAAUUUCCGACUGACCAAAGAACUGGUUCAGCAAAGGGUGAAAGAUAAUGUUGUAAUAGUGACCUUCGGUAACUAUGCAUUCAUGGAUUUUAUUCUGACUUGGGUCAAGAAAUUGACAGAUCUAGAAGUUUCUAAUUUUCUUGUUGGUGAGUGUCGUGAAAUAAUUUCUAUCCUGUUCUGUUUUGUAUUGUUUUUGGAUUUGCAGUGAUGUGUUGAUGGAAAUGCAUAUCCACCAUUAACUAAACUUUGUAAUAUGUGUUUGAACUUACUAUUAGGCGCAAUGGACACCAAAUUAUUGGAGGCACUAUAUUGGAAGGGUGUACCAGUUUUUGACAUGGGCAGCCAUAUGAGCACUGUAGAUGUUGGCUGGGGGACUCCAACAUUUCAUAAAAUGGGGAGAGAAAAAGUUAUUCUGUUAGACUCAAUACUGCCUUUUGGUUUUGAAGUAUUGAUGUGUGAUACCGACAUGGUUUGGUUAAAGGUGACCUUCAAUUUUACAUACAUGCUAUUAUGUUUUCUUAAGUUAAUCUGUUUUAGUUAGAAGUGUGGCUCAAUGCUUGCUUAGAUUUUGAUUAAUGUUUGUCAAAAGUAGCAGUAAAACUCAUAGUGACUAGGAUGUUUCAUUUUCUCUAUCAUGGAUGUAAUGAAGUAGCUUGCCGUAUGAAGUUAUCACAAUUGUAUUUGCAGAUGUCUUCAAGCCAAUAAUAUGAUUAUGUAAGAUAUAUACCAUUCCUAAUACAUGUUUUCAAUUGUGAAAUUGUUAAACAGAAUCCACUUCCAUAUCUUGCUCGUCAUCCAGGAGCAGAUAUUUUAACUUCAAGUGAUCAAGUAGUUCCAACAGUUGUUGAUGACAGUUUAGAAAUUUGGCAAGAAGGUGAAUAUUAUACUAUAAUGUGAACUUACUCUUAACAUUUUUAACUGUGCUUCUAUC